rnacentral:rRNA from 1 species
GAUGAACGCUGGCGGCGUGCUUAACACAUGCAAGUCGAACGGAAAGGCCCAAGCUUGCUUGGGUACUCGAGUGGCGAACGGGUGAGUAACACGUGGGUGAUCUGCCCUGCACUUCGGGAUAAGCCUGGGAAACUGGGUCUAAUACCGGAUAGGACCACUUCUUGGAUGUUGUGGUGGAAAGUUUUUUCGGUGUGGGAUGAGCUCGCGGCCUAUCAGCUUGUUGGUGGGGUAAUGGCCUACCAAGGCGUCGACGGGUAGCCGGCCUGAGAGGGUGUACGGCCACAUUGGGACUUAGAUAAGGCCCAGACUCCUACGGGAGGCGGCAGUGGGGAAUAUUGCACCAUGGGCGCAAGCCUGAUGCAGCGACGCCGCGUGGGGGAUGACGGCCUUCGGGUUGUAAACUCCUUUCGCUAGGGACGAAGCGUUUUGUGACGGUACCUGGAGAAGAAGCACCGGCUAACUACGUG